AGUUUAGCGACUUUUCGGUCGUUUGAAUUUGGGUUUAGUUUAGCGACAUUUCGGUCGUUUGGAUUCGGGUUUAGUUUAGCGACUUUUCGGUCGUUUGAAUUUGGGUUGUUUAGUUUAACGACUUUGCGGUCAUUUGAUUUGAUUGUUUAGUUUAACGACUUUGCGGUCGUAGGUUUUAUUUGUGGACUUUGGAUUUUGGCAUUUUAUUUGUGGACUUUGGAUUUUGGGAUUUAUUUGUAGACUUUGGGUUUUGAAAUUUUAUUUGUGGACUUUGGGUUUUGAAAUUUAUUUGUGGACUUUGGGAUUUGGGUUUAUUUGUGGACUUUAGGUUUUGGAUUUAUUUAUGGACUUUGGGUUUUGGUUUGGCUCGAAUCUUUUGUAUUUUAUUCGAGAUGAACCG
rnacentral:lncRNA from 1 species